GUGUCAGCCGCCGCGGUAAUACGGGGGGGGCAAGCGUUGUUCGGAAUUACUGGGCGUAAAGGGUGCGUAGGCGGCUUUCUAAGUUGGAUGUGAAAACUAUGGGCUCAACCCAUAGCCUGCAUCCAAAACUGGAGAGCUUGGGUUCUGGAGGGGAAAGCGGAAUUCCAGGUGUAGCGGUGAAACGCGUAGAUAUCAGGAGGAACACCGGUGGCGAAGGCGGCUUUCUGGACAGACACCGACGCUGAGGCACGAAAGCUAGGGGAGCAAACAGGAUUAGAUACCCGUGUAGUCC
rnacentral:rRNA from 1 species